rnacentral:rRNA from 1 species
CCUACGGGGGACAGCAGUGGGGAAUAUUGGGCAAUGGACGCAAGUCUGACCCAGCAACGCCGCGUGAAGGAAGAAGGCUUUCGGGUUGUAAACGUCUUUUAAGGGGGAAGAGCAGAAGACGGUACCCCUUGAAUAAGCCACGGCUAACGACGGGCCAGCAGCCGCGGUAAUACGUAGGUGGCAAGCGUUGUCCGGAUUUACUGGGUGUAAAGGGCGUGCAGCCGGGAAGACAAGUCAGAUGUGAAAUCCCGCGGCGCAACCGCGGAACUGCAUUGGAAACUGUUUUUCUUGAGUAUCGGAGAGGUCAUCGGUUUUCCUAGUGUAGCGGUGACAUGCGUAGAUAUUAG